UACAGAGGUCCCAAGCGUUGUUCGGAUUCAUUGGGCGUAAAGGGUGCGUAGGCGGCGGGGUAAGUCUGAUGUGAAAUCCCGGGGCUCAACCCUGGAACUGCAUUGGAUACUGCCUUGCUAGAGAACUGGAGAGGAGACUGGAAUUUACGGUGUAGCAGUGAAAUGCGUAGAGAUCGUAAGGAAGACCAGUGGCGAAGGCGAGUCUCUGGACAGUAUCUGACGCUGAGGCACGAAGGCCAGGGGAGCAAACGGG
rnacentral:rRNA from 1 species